rnacentral:lncRNA from 1 species
AAGCAGCAGUUCACCUGAGCAGGCAUGUGGGUCAUCCUGUCUCUUAACCAGGCAUGAGCUACAUUGUUCCUGUCUCUUAACCAGGCAUGAGAUACAUUGUUCCUGUCUCUUAACCAGGCAUGAGAUACAUUGUUCCUGUCUCUUAACCAGGUAUAGGUGGGGAAUGCUCAAAUGGCCCCUGAGAGAUGGGCAGUUCCAGAUACGGAAAAAGAAGGCUUUGACCAAAGCAGCAUGGUAUCUCUCUUUUCAUCCAUUUAUUUUCCCAUGAACAUUCUUCCAGCUGGAAACUUACCAAUUUUUGUCAGCUUUCAGAGCUGAUUUUACAUUGGCGUCAUGAAGCACAGGAACGGAGUCUCUCCCCUCCGGCUGAUGGGAUGUACUGGUCCAGAUGCCUCUCUCGAAUUUCUUCUCUCCAUUGCCUUUUCUCCCUCCAAGUCAAAGUUUGCAUCAUCAAAUCAUAUUCGUUCCCAACACUCGGCCUUUAUGAAACUUAAGUGUUACCUGAAACUCUACCAAAACUAGGAUUUCACUGAAGCUGACAUUAUUUGUUUUGAGAAGAAAAGUAGUCACAGAUGGCAGACCUACAACUGGUACCAAACUUCUAAACCUGAUAUCAUAGGUCAAUAAAGAACUGUGUGUGUGUGUGUGUGUGUGUGUGUGUGUAAAAACUGCUGGAUUAUUCUGAAGUCAUUUGCCAAAGAUUGUGUUGUUCAGAUAUGAUCUUGCUGUCUCAUGAUACUCAGAGCAUAUUGGAGUCUUCUAAAAUAGACAAAACUGCCAACUCUAGCAGCCAGGGUAGAGUAGACAGCUGCCAGCAGCAAACCCACCACCAUACAUAGUGCAUCCCUGAGGAUGGCUGCAAAGUAUCUGUUCUUCUUAAGAUUAUGUAUAUAUACACACUUGUAUCAUAAGUCAACUAAUGUUUGAUUUAAAUUCAUUAUUUAUUUUGAGAAGGAAAGUAGUCACACACACACACACACACACACACACACACACACACACACGACAAUGCCAUCUCUCUAAAAUGAUGGCUAAGAGCUGAACAGGGGCCUUUACUUGAGGUGAUGUCUCCUUCACUAAUAUUGGAAUGAGGGGCUGAGAGCUACAUCAGAGAUUACCAUGCUUAUUGUAAUAGCAUAAGGAUUUGAGUUCAGAUACUUAGCACCCAUACAAACGCUGGGCACCUUCAGCACAUCCCUGUAACACCAGUGCUGGAGACUGGCAGAUACCACAUUCAAUGAGAGACCAACCCUAUCUGUUAUUAGACGCGUUCUCACGACCGGCCAGGAAAGACGCAACAAACCAGAAUCUUCUGCGGCAAAGCUUUAUUGCUUACAUCUUCAGGAGCCAGAGUGCAAGAAGCAAGAGCGAGAGAAAACGAAACCCCGUCCCUUUUUUAGGAGAGUUAUAUUUCGCCUAGGACGUGUCACUCCCUGAUUGGCUGCAGCCCAUCGGCCGAGUUGACGUCAUGGGGAAGGCAGAGCACAUGGAGUGGAGAACCACCCUCGGCAUAUGCGCAGAUUAUUUGUUUACCACUUAGAACACAGCUGUCAGCGCCAUCUUGUAACGGCGAAUGUGGGCGCGGCUCCCAACACCUAUCUCAAAAAAUAAGACUGAUAAAGAAAGACACCCAA